AACGAACGCUAGCGGUGUGGAUUAGGCAUGCAAGUCGCGCGCGAAAGCCUUCGGGCGAGUAAAGCGGCGAAAGGGUGAGUAACACGUAACCAACGUACCCUCAGACUGGGAUAACCACUGGAAACGGUGGAUAAUACCGGAUGGUCCACUGGGCAGCAUUGCCUGGCUGGUAAACGGCGGCCGCAAGGCGGUUGCUGAGGGAGCGGGUUGCGGCCUAUCAGCUUGUUGGUGAGGUAACGGCUCACCAAGGCUAUGACGGGUAACAGGUCUGAGAGGAUGAUCUGUCACACUGGGACUGAGACACUGCCCAGACUCCUACGGGAGGCUGCAGUCGAGAAUCUUCCACAAUGGCGGAAAGACCUGAUGGAGCGACACCGCGUGCAGGAUGAA
rnacentral:rRNA from 1 species